UUCAACACAAAAAUUCAAGAAUAUAGAAAAUAACUUAGAACGAUCUUUCAUUAAAAAAUCCAAGUACAUCUUGAAUGAUCAUCAAUGAAGCUAACAAAAUAACAAAAUCCCAAGGUUGAACUGACUCUACUAGGACCCAAUAUAUCCGAAUGAACUAAAAAAAAUAGACUCUGCACGACUCUCAAUACUACGAGGAAAGGAAGCGCGGGUAUGUUUCCCGAGCUGACAUGACUCACACUCUAAUGAGGAUAAACUAGACAAACGAGGCACCAUCUUAUGAAGCUUGGACAAGCUAGGAUGUCCUAAACGACUGUGAAGUAGGUCUGGAGGAUCUGCAACUAGACAUGCCUUGGAGGAUGUUAGUGAGUUAAGGUAGUAGGUCUGGAGGAUCUGCAACUAGAGAGGCCUUGGAGGAUGUUAGUGAGUUAAGGUAGUAGAGUCCUUCUGAUUUAAGUCCUGUUCCAAUCGUCUGUCCCGUACUGCAGUGCUGCAUAAUAAAAGAAUCAUCAAUAAAAUAUAUGCCGCAAUGGAGGGCACGAGUCAAACGACUUACAGAUGCAAGAUUAAAAGGACAGCCAGGGACAUAAAGAACGGAAUCUAGAGUGACAGAGGGUAGAGGAUUUGCUUGUCCAACUCCUUUUGCUUUAGUNNN
rnacentral:lncRNA from 1 species